UAGUGGCAGUGAUGUCUGCACAUCUAAAAUGCUAGUUCUGCUUUAAAAAAUUCUUGAUAGAAAAACCCGUUUUUCUCUGAGCCAUUU